GACAGAGGGGGCAAGCGUUGCUCGGAAUCACUGGGCGUAAAGGGCGCGUAGGCGGGAUGGCAAGUCGGUCGUGAAAGCCUUCGGCUCAACCGAAGAACGUCGGCCGAUACUGCCGUUCUUGAGGGAUGCAGAGGAGACUGGAAUUCCCGGUGUAGCGGUGAAAUGUGUAGAGAUCGGGAGGAACACCGGUGGCGAAGGCGGGUCUCUGGGCAUCUCCUGACGCUGAGGCGGCGAAAAGCGUGGGGAGCAAACGGG
rnacentral:rRNA from 1 species